UGGGUUUAUGGCUCCAUCAUUCUCGUCUCUGCCUUUGUCUGCACAUCAUCUUCUCCUGUUGUCUUUCCCCUUUGUGUGUGUCUCAGAGAGACACCUGCCAUUGGAUUUAGGGCCCAUCAGGAUGAUUUCCUCAUCUCAAGAUCCUUAAUUACCUCCACAAAGACCUUUUUUCUAAGCUGAGCAGCUUCAGAAUCUGUUCACUUGAUUUGCAUACCUUCACAGUUUUCUCAAUGUCUUCUGUGGUGACUUUCUUCCCCGGCAAGCUUUCCAUCAAGCUGCGAAGCUGCUCGAAGGUAUCCAACAAAGCUUUGUGAAAAGCCCUAAUUUUGGAAAUGAACAGUAAAAUACUAUAAACACAUCACUCUAUUUUCUAAGAAAACUUAGAAAAAUUAAAACCAUACCAUUUCAGAAAAGUA